rnacentral:rRNA from 1 species
UACGGGAGGCAGCAGUGGGGAAUCUUAGACAAUGGGCGAAAGCCUGAUCUAGCCAUGCCGCGUGAGUGAUGAAGGCCCUAGGGUCGUAAAGCUCUUUCGCCAGGGAUGAUAAUGACAGUACCUGGUAAAGAAACCCCGGCUAACUCCGUGCCAGCAGCCGCGGUAAU